GGUCGCAGAGCUGUCAGCAAGCUCCAAACCGCGGCUGCCGCCCGGAGGGAAGCAGACGGGGAGUCGGUGGCGGCCGCCGAGUCCGCAUGCGCAGGCUGCAAAGGCCCUUUUGGGCCGGUCCCGCCGCGCUAGGUUGGCGAGUGGGACUAUUUGAUCCUUUCCAGGUUCGCCAGCGUGGUGUUACGAGAGGAAAGCGCAGCCGCAGCGUACGAAUGGGAAGGCCAAACACGGUCCCGGGGAGUCUGAGGGAAGCUGCAGGGCGCCUGGAAUUGGGGUCUCGAGUGAGCCGGUAAAAACCGCCUCCCGCUGAGCGUCCCGGAACAAAUACUGUCUGAACUGAGCCGUAAGCAAGAAACGGUCAGGAGAAGCUGGGGCGAUCUGAUGAUUAGAACAUUUCAGGGACUACCAGAGAGAAGUGCGUAAUUGCUCUAAGGCAGGUAGGUAAUUGGCCUGGAAACUUGGGAACGCCCCGCCCCCCACCCCGACUUUCAGCAAACCACCGUGCCCAGGAAAAAGAGCGAUUGUGGAAGACCCUGUGAAGAAGAGACCAGGAAGGCACUGUGGCUUAAGAGAGCAAGGCGUUCCUGAAUGCAGCCAACAUCAACUGGUAAACAAAAAACUGUGAGAACGGAUCCUGAAUCUUGCGCUUACCAGGGGAAAUUCAGGAGAGAUAUGAACCUGAGCAAGAUGAGGUUGAAGUUACUCAAUGCGGCAUUAAGCCUGUUCACGGCCACUUCCUCCGGCGUCACCAACACACACACUGUACACCAGCAGUAUUUUUACACGGGGUAUGUGUGUUAAGUACUAUCAGGUGGAUAAUUAUUACUUCACCUGUAUUUGCUGCCUUGAUACCAUUAGAGAAACUCAUGAAUUAUAAAUAGCAUAGUGAAUUUGUGAUUCCCUGAAGAUAUACUAAGGUGGACUUUUAAAAAGGCUUCUAUUCCAAAGGGAACUAAUAUGGAGGAAAUGGUUUCGAGAAAGAAAAAAGAAAAAACGGAGUCCUUGAUUAGUUGUGGGGAAGGCAACAUAAUGUAAUGUGAAGAAUAAAGGAGUCAGAUCCAGGAAACCCCAUAACUAUUAUGUAAGUUAUCUUCAUCUGUAAAGUGGUUAGGAUCCUGAUAGUCUCAAAGGUUUGUUUUGAGGUUUCAUGAAGCAGAUAAAUAUUCUUGUAAAUUGUAGAAUGUUAUACCAGUGUUACUCAUUAUUCUAACAAGAGCAGAGUAGUGAAGAGAGGCUCCUUCAGAAAUUCCUUGGGAUUUUUUUUUUUUUGGCUUCUGUUUUUUUAUAUCACAAGGUAGUGUCUCUGAAAAAUGGUAGAUGAUUUCAAUGUCCACAAAUAUGCAGGUGUAGACAUUCAAUUGAGGUACUGUACCCAAGGCAGCCAGCAAAAUGCUGAACAUAGAAAAUAACUUUGUAAACAAAAUGCAAUAUUUCUAGACAGUGAGUUAUCACCAGUGUGCUGCCUAUGACCCUGGCCUUAAGGAAAAAGUAGCAGAGCUGAAGAAGUUCUAAGGAUGGAAAUUAAAAAUUAUUAAGGAGAUAAUAGACUUCGUGUUAUAGGAAAUAAAAAUAGCAAGGGUCUUCAAUGGUGAGUGAUUUUGAGAUUAAUUACAUAACUAUGAAUUCUGUAAUAUUAGAACUAAGCUUUACAAAGCAUUCCUUAAAAAAAGAUAAUUUUACAACAAAGGUAACAUUAGACAGAAAAAAAUGUACAAAACUAAAAUUAAGUGAUUAAUGCUUGGGAAUGUUUCCUCCAAUGUUCAUCUAGUCAUGGUUUUCACGAAUCACUCUUGCCAAUAAAACCGAAAAUCAAAGUAA
rnacentral:lncRNA from 10 species